GAUGAACGCUGGCGGCGUGCCUAAUACAUGCAAGUCGAGCGAACGGACGAGAAGCUUGCUUCUCUGAUGUUAGCGGCGGACGGGUGAGUAACACGUGGAUAACCUACCUAUAAGACUGGGAUAACUUCGGGAAACCGGAGCUAAUACCGGAUGAUAUUUUGAACCGCAUGGUUCAAAAGUGAAAGACGGUCUUGCUGUCACUUAUAGAUGGAUCCGCGCUGCAUUAGCUAGUCGGUAAGGUAACGGCUUACCAAGGCAACGAUGCAUAGCCGACCUGAGAGGGUGAUCAGCCACACUGGAACUGAGACACGGUCCAGACUCCUACGGGAGGCAGCAGUAGGGAAUCUUCCGCAAUGGGCGAAAGCCUGACGGAGCAACGCCGCGUGAGUGAUGAAGGUCUUCGGAUCGUAAAACUCUGUUAUUAGGGAAGAACAUAUGUGUAAGUAACUGUGCACAUCUUGACGGUACCUAAUCAGAAAGCCACGGCUAACUACGUG
rnacentral:rRNA from 1 species